rnacentral:lncRNA from 1 species
AAUAUCAUUGGAAUGAGCCCCCUUGGCAGAUGUACAGGUCCUGAUGACAGGUAUUUUCCAGGUCCAGGGUCCCACAAUCACAGCUCUAAAAGAUUCUCUGUGUGAAGUGUUUGAAGAAGUGGUGGACGUGACACUGAUCUUGGAGCUGCAUUCCCUGACUCUGUUAAGUUGUGGAUGUGUCUAUUUGCUCAUGCCCAUAGAGGGUAUUUUGCCUCUUGUGGAGACCUGUCAUAAAAUGGGGCGAAGAGCAAAUUCCUUCUGGUGGAAAAGGUGUUAA